rnacentral:rRNA from 1 species
AUGCCGCCCAAGCGCGGGCGCGGGAGGCCGCGUAGGGAGGUCCCGGCCGCCGCAGACGAGGCGAGCGGCGGGGGGACGGACGACGACCUAGGUCUCCCGCCCAUCCCCUCCGCCUCCACCGCCGACGAGCCCACGCGCGGGCGCGGGCGCGGUCGGGGUAGGCGCGGCAGGCGCGGCCGGGGGGGCCGCGGGCGAGGGCGAACGCCCGCCGUCAAAGCCGAGGAGAACGGUGUGGACAAGGGCAACGAAGAGAUGCCACAGCAGGAUUCUGCCGAGGAGAAAGACGCACAAGGGGGAACGGAGAACUCGAGACCAGCAAGAAAACGCAGGAGGGGGGAUCCUGUUGCUGACCUCUCAUCUCUUGAGCCUCGGCCCGCACGAGUUAGGAGGAAGCCGAAUCUUAUUCCGGUGGUAGAUGAUCCACCUAAGGUGAAAGCCAAGGUGAAAGCUCAGAAUACAAAAAGGAUAGAUGGAACCUCAACCAUGUGUCAUCAAUGCCAGAGGAAGGACAAAGAAGGAGGAGUUGUGCGCUGCCUGGGCUGCAAAGAAUAUAGGAGGAGAUACUGCAUGGUGUGCAUAAAGCGCUGGUAUCCACAUUUAACAGUAGAUGACUUUGUCAAUAGUUGUCCAUUUUGUCGCAAUAACUGCAACUGCAAGACCUGCCUGCGGAAAAACAUAAUAGACAAGGUUGACAAAUGGCAAGUAUCUGAGGAAGAUAUAGUCAAAUUCUCUCAUCGAAAUUUGCACUUCUUGCUCCCAUGGUUGAAAGACUUUCACCAUGAGCAGAUACAAGAGAAAUCUGUUGAGGCAACAAUUAAAGGCAUUGAUGCAUCUGAAGUGAAGGUCACUCAGGCUGAAUGUGAAGAAAGUGAGCGGAUAUACUGUAACAACUGCAGAACAUCUAUAUUUGACUUCCACCGAAGCUGUGAUAAAUGUUCCUAUGAUCUCUGCCUGAGCUGCUGCCGGGAGCUUCGUGAUGGACUUAGUCCUGGCGCUGCUGCUGCAAAUAGCAUGAUCCCUACGCAACCUGGGGUAGAAGGCCUGGAAGAUUUGCAACAGAGUAGUCAUGGCAAUGUUGCAAGUCCAAAGCCUUCUGAUGGGCAGAAUGAUGUUUUGAUGGACAGUGCAAUUCCUGUUGAGGAUAAUGCUCCUGGUUUGAGACAAUGGAGGGCGAAUAACAAUGGAAGCAUACCUUGCCCGCCAAAUGCUUUUGGUGGUUGUGGAGAUUCUGUUCUUGAACUUAAGUCAUUGUUGAAGGAGAAUAUAAUUUCUGACUUAUUGGAGAAGGCUGAUUUUGUGGUCAACAACGAAAGAAUGCUGGAGGUGGGAGGCUCAAAAUGUUCCUGCUCUACGGACUCUGGUGAGGUGACCAAUGGGUAUAAAUUGGCUUGUAGAGAGAACUCAAGUGACAACUACAUAUACUGCCCAAAUGCUAGAGAUGUUCAAAAUGGAGCUUUAGAUCAUUUCCAGGAGCACUGGCUGAAGGGUGAGCCUGUUAUUGUUCGUAACGUGCUUGAGUUAACUUCUGGGUUGAGCUGGGAACCAAUGGUUAUGUGGCGGGCUUUACGAGAAAGGAAAGAGAAGGAUGAACAUGAGCGGCUCUCUGUUACAGCUCUUGAGUGUCUGUCUUGGUCUGAGGUUGAAAUAAACACCCACUUCUUUUUUGAUGGGUAUUCCCGUGGAGCUGUUGGUCCAGAGGGUUUGCCUGUGUUACUCAAGCUUAAAGAUUGGCCACAACACAGCUCAUUUGAGGAUCGACUGCCACGACAUGGCGCUGAGUUCAUGUCUGCCUUGCCAUUUCGUGAAUAUACAGAUCAUAAAUCUGGUCCUCUUAAUCUUGCAGUGCAGCUUCCAGAAAAUGUCAUAAAGCCAGACCUUGGUCCAAAGACUUACAUUGCGUACGGCGUUGCCAAGGAAUUAGGAAUUGGUGAUUCAGUCACCAAGAUUCAUUGCGACAUGUCUGAUGCGGUUAAUAUCCUAACACAUACUGAUGAAAUAAAGCUCAAAGAACAAAGGGUUGUCGCGAUUGAGAAAAAGAAAAAGAGUUUGGCAAUAAGGGAUUACAGCAGAAAUCUUCAAGCUUCACAAAUAGGUCCUGAUAGUGACACGUCGAUAGCUCUCAGUGAAUUAGUCAAGGGGCCGAGACCUGAAGGAUCUGGACAUGGCUCAUUCAUUAAGCAGCCAUUAUCAGAUGCUGUUUUAGAUGGGCGGGACGGGGUUCAUAAAGAUGUGGCAGCUGAUCAAGCUGAGCGGAACUUGACUGUCAAUGGGCGAGCACCCAUUGAAUGUGAAGGGAUUCACAAAGAUGUGGCAGCUGAUGAAGCCGAGGGGAACUUGACGGUGAAUGGGCAAGUGUCCAUUGUAGGUGAUGCGGAUCAUAUGGAUAUUUCAGUCACCAAGGAGGCAGCAGAAGCCACAGUUAAUGAUAGGGAGAAGGUCGGUUGUGGUUUCAGCAGUGAAGAUAAAAGUGCAUCUCCAGAUAAUUCUGAAGGAUCUUCUGAACCUAAUGGCCAUCAAAUACACCGCAGGAGACAUUGGCUUCGUUCUUCUAAUGCAUCAAAGAGAAAAAAGGAAGCAAGCACAGAAGAUGAAGAUAAAAGUGAACCUCCAGAUAAUUCAGAAGGAUCUUCUGAACCUAAUGGUCGUCAAACACACCGCAGGCGACGUGGUUCUUCUAAUGCAUCAAAGAGAAAAAAGAAAGCAAGAACAGAAGAUGAGGUGCCUGGGCCCAUAACUCUCGAGCCAAAAGAUGAUGAUCUCCCAUUUGUAGAGGAAAACCAACCAGAGGGUGGUGCCUUGUGGGAUAUAUUCCGACGGGAAGAUGUCAGCAAACUACAUGAUUAUCUAAUAAAGCAUUCAGAGGAGUUUAGGCAUUACAAGUAUGAACCAGUGAAGAAGGUUAUUCACCCUAUACAUGAUCAGUGCUUUUACCUAACAAAUGAGCACAAGAGGAAACUUAAGGAAGAAUAUGGAGUUGAGCCUUGGACAUUUGAACAGAAGCUUGGUGAUGCAGUCUUUAUCCCUGCAGGAUGUCCCCACCAAGUCAGAAAUUUGAAGUCUUGUAUAAAGGUCGCACUUGACUUUGUUUCGCCGGAAAAUUUACGAGAGUGCAUCAAGUUGACAGAAGAAUUUCGUCUGCUUCCAAACUGGCAUAGGGUGAAUGAAGAUAAGCUAGAGGUUAAGAAGAUAGCUUUUCAUGCAAUCAAAGAAGCCAUUUAUGAUAUCUCCAAUGGUGGCAAGAAAAGACCUAAAAAGGAACCUGCUGGGCGUGGUAAAAAGAAAGCUGGUCGUGGUCCAGGAAAAAGGAAAACUGGCCGUCGUUGUCGAGGGAAAAAGAUACCUGGUCCAAGUGAAUCCGCAGAACCAGAGGAGCAUGAAGUGCAAGGAGAAUCAGCUCUGGACAUGUCUGAAGCUGAAGGUGGACCUGCAGAAAUGGAGGAGCACGAAGAACAGUCAGCUGAGGACAUGUCUGAAGAUGAUGAAGACGAAGCUGCAGAAAAGGAGGAGUGCCAAGAAGAAUCUGCUCUGGACAUGUCAGAAGCUGAAGAUGGACCUAGUGAGUCAGCGCAGGACAUGUCUGAGUUUGAAGAUGAGCCUGCAGAAGUGGAGGAGCAGCAGAAACAAUCAGUUGAGAACAUGUCUGUACCUAAAGAUGAGCCUGCAGAAAUGCAUCAGGAAGAGUCAGCUCAGUACAUGUCUGCACCUGCAGAAGCGGAGAAGCCCCAAGAAGAAUCAGGUCAGGACAUGCCUGAAGCCGAAGACAAAGCUGCGAAAAUGGAGGCGUCUGAAGCUGAAGCUGGACAGCUAGAGGCUCAGGAUCACCAUAAGCAACCAGCUGAUGGCACGCCUGAGGUUAAACAGGAGCAGCUCCAGAAGCAAUCAGCUGAGGCCAUGCCAACCCUGGCGCCAUGA